UACGUAGGGUGCAAGCGUUAUCCGGAAUUAUUGGGCGUAAAGAGCUCGUAGGCGGUUUGUCGCGUCUGCUGUGAAAACCCGAGGCUCAACCUCGGGCCUGCAGUGGGUACGGGCAGACUAGAGUGCGGUAGGGGAGAUUGGAAUUCCUGGUGUAGCGGUGAAAUGCGCAGAUAUCAGGAAGAACACCAAUGGCGAAGGCAGCUCUCUGGGACGGUACUGACACUGAGACGCGAAAGCGUGGGGAGCGAACAGG
rnacentral:rRNA from 1 species